AUUGAACGCUGGCGGCAGGCCUAACACAUGCAAGUCGAGCGGAUGAAGGGAGCUUGCUCCUGGAUUCAGCGUCGGACGGGUGAGUAAUGCCUAGGAAUCUGCCUGGUAGUGGGGGAUAACGUCCGGAAACGGGCGCUAAUACCGCAUACGUCCUGAGGGAGAAAGUGGGGGAUCUUCGGACCUCACGCUAUCAGAUGAGCCUAGGUCGGAUUAGCUAGUUGGUGGGGUAAGGGCCUACCAAGGCGACGAUCCGUAACUGGUCUGAGAGGAUGAUCAGUCACACUGGAACUGAGACACGGUCCAGACUCCUACGGGAGGCAGCAGUGGGGAAUAUUGGACAAUGGGCGAAAGCCUGAUCCAGCCAUGCCGCGUGUGUGAAGAAGGUCUUCGGAGUGUAAAGCACGUUAAGUUGGGAGGAAGGGCAGUAAGUUAAUACCUUGCUGUUUUGACGUUACCAACAGAAUAAGCACCGGCUAACUUCGUG
rnacentral:rRNA from 1 species